UUCUGGUCGCUCGCGUCCCACCGGUCUCUUUCGCUGACUGUACCACACCAGAGGAGAGAAGAAACCGUCUACUGCUGCUGCGUUUACCAUGUUAGACGAUGUCCGAGGUUCACUUGUCUCGUUCGACAUGUUCCCUUCAGAUCACACUCCAGCCUUUGGGCACAUGAAGCAACCUGGAGGAGGUGGAUGAUGAUGGUGUCUGAAUUUUGGCAGAAUGUCUUUCAACACCAGAGAGGAAGGGGAUCUACCAUCUUCAUCACUUCUGUUUGAUAAUACAACGCUGAGGUGAAACGGUUGCUGCAUGUGGAACGUGCACCUUUUAAGCAUCUCGGAAGUAGAAAGAAAUACACAGGAAAUGAAAAAUACUCAGCACCUGAUGAAGCCUGGACAAGUGGGACAAAGUUGAUCACUGACAAUUUUACAUGGGACUUUCUGUUUUGGUGCUGUCAAACUGAUACAAUUUUGUUUGUAAAUAAAA